rnacentral:rRNA from 1 species
UACGUAGGGUGCAAGCGUUAAUCGGAAUUACUGGGCGUAAAGCGUGCGCAGGCGGUUUUGUAAGUCUGAUGUGAAAUCCCCGGGCUCAACCUGGGAAUUGCGGUGGAGACUGCAAGGCUAGAAUCUGGCAGAGGGGGGUAGAAUUCCACGUGUAGCAGUGAAAUGCGUAGAGAUGUGGAGGAACACCGAUGGCGGAGGCAGC